UGUUUGUUUAUUGACUUGUACACGAGCUGUCAAAGUGUUAAUUGUUUAGUUCGGGAAGUUACGAUUGUGAGUGCAAGAAGAAUCCUGCCAUAAAUACAGUAAAACAUGAGUCCGUCAAUAUUUCGCGCAACGUGAGAGGAAGGCUGAUGAAGUGUACUUGCCUUGGAAGAUGUUGCCCGGUAUUGGAGUAUUUGGAACGGGUAACGUUGUGCGAGUUAUUGUUCCAUUUUUGAGAGAAAAGGGCUUCAAGAUAGAAGCAAUAUGGGGUCGAACACUCACUGCUGCUGAAGAAGUAUCUAAGGAACUUGAGAUACCGUUUUACACUAACAAAAUCGAUGAUGUGCUGCUGCGAAAGGACGUUGAUCUUAUAUUUAUUAUGUGUUCACCAAACCUUCAUGCACAGAUUGCUGUUAAAGCUCUGGGCAUUGGGAAACAUGUGCUAUGUGACAAACCAACCGGGCUAUGUCAAAGCGAAGCAUUGAAGAUGGUACGAGCAGCACAGUAUUAUCCGUCGCUUAUUUCCAUUGUUAACCACAGCUUAAGAUUUCUUCCCGCAUUUUCCCAGAUGAAGAGAGCUAUUGCUGAUGGGUACUUAGGCAGUGAGAAUGAAAUAACCGUCUGCGACGUACGUGUGCAGAUGGGAAGCCUUCUUCACGAUGGUUAUGAUUGGUUAUGUGAUGAUACAAUGGGUGGAGGUAUAUUAACUCUUGUGGGUAGCCACGUAAUUGACCUUGUGUCACAUCUGACUGGUCAGAGGGCUUCACGUGUCCAUGGCCUUGUUCGAACUUUCACGAAGAACACACAUUAUGUACGUGGCAUAAGGCAGAUUUCAAGUCCAGACUUCUGUGCCUUUCAGAUGGAGAUGAGUGGUGGCACACUUGUCACUGCAACACUUAACAAUCAUCUUCCAGGAACGUUUAGCCAGGAAGUUUUAGUUUGUGGGCGUGAAGGACAUUUAAUGGUGCGUGGUGGAGACUUGUAUGGGUACAAAUCUGGUGCAGCUAAGGAAGAAGUCAUAUAUUUGGACGUGGAAGAUUUGCAGCGUGGAGGAUCUAUUAAUGCUGCUGCAAUAAGUGUGAUUCCACGCCCAUACAUGAAAGGAUUAUUUAAGAUGAUUAGUGCUCUUAGAGAAGCAUUUCUGCCUGUUGAAGACAAGAGUGGAUGGGUGAAGGAACCCGUUGCACUGGCAGCAACAUUUGAAGAUGGUUUGUAUGUGCAAGCGGUCAUAGAUGCGCUACGGAAAUCUAGCGCAAACCGUGAAUGGGUAAAGGUGAAUGUUAUUACAGAGGAACCAGAUCCAAACCCACUAUUGAGUGCUGCUGUGCGGCGUAGUGCCAUAUCCAUGUGACAUACAGAUAACCUGCUGUAAAAUAACUUCAGUACUAAUGUCUGCUUAGCUAACAGGUUACAGUGCCAAACAUUUCUUGAGAAGUACAAAAAAGAACAUUUUGCUGAGUUAUUACUGAAUUUGAUUUCACUUUUUUUGCUCACCCUGUAUUGUAUUCUGUGCUUCUAAACAUAGUUGAAGUUGAAAGAAAUUUAUAUGAUUUUCUGCCUGUGAUGAGAAUGACUGGCAUUUGUGUAAGGAUGUUGUCUAUAAUGAUUAACAUUUGGACAGGGUUGUGAAAAAUACCUUUGUUAAUAAACAUAGCGAAAAUAAAUGCAAGAAAAUACUUUUCUUUGUGUAUUGAACACCUGAGCACUGACAAAUAUUUAAAAUUUGAUAGCAGAGAAGAGCAAUGUUUUCCCUUGGCCUCUGCACAUACUAUAAUAAUUUAAGAAGUUGGAUAUUUGAACAGUGCCUUGUAAAAAUGCAUUGUUUCCAUGAUUCUUUGAUUGCCCUUAUAUGUGCUUAGCUGUACCAGAAGUGUUAUACCUACAACAUACAAUAAAAAGUCACAAAAUGCAAGUUGAGCAAAAUUGUACAUAACUUGCGACUGUUUUGGUCAGUCAGAAUAUGCUGUGUUUAGGGAAAAAGCUCUAUGUGCUGACACAUAGUUCAAAAACUUGAAUAUAUUAGUGAUUAAUCUUGGUGUUGUCUCAUUGUCAAUUUGUAGUGUGUAUUAGUCACACUCAGUAAGGCGCGCUCUCUCUCUCAAAUA